GCCCAAGUGGCGGAAUGGCAGACGCAGUCGACUCAAAAUCGACCGUCCCGAAAGGACGUGGGGGUUCGACUCCCCCCUUGGGCA
rnacentral:tRNA from 1 species